CCAAAAACUCUCAACAACAGAUAUCUCGGCUCUCGCAUCGAUGAAGAAUGUAGCAAAAUGCGAUAAUAGUGUGAAUUGCAGAAUCUCAUGAACCAUCGAGUCUUUGAACGCAAGUUGCGCCUGAAGUCAUCAGGCCAAGGGCACGUCUGCCUGGGCAUCACGUAUCGC
rnacentral:rRNA from 1 species